NNNNNNNNNNNNNNNNNNNNNNNNNNNNNNNNNNNNNNNNNNNNNNNNNNNNNNNNCCCCGUCCCCACUGCGGAGAAAUCUCCUAAGACAUGGCUGCCGGCGUAGCCUCUGCGCCCAGGAGGCGUGGAGCAGAGGGCGCGGGAGCUGAGCAGGACGCGAGGACCGCGGCCCGGCGCCAAGUGCGGGAGGCGCGCGGGGCUGGCGGCGCGCAGAGGUCCUUUCUGAAGCAGCUGGGAGCUCAGAACGUGCUGUCACCUCUGAGGAGUGGGCCAGCCAGGAAAAGGAGGAGGGGAUGGUGCGGAUCGCAGCCAAGGCCUGAGGAGUGAGGGUCGUCUGCAGACCGCUGGACCUGGGGCCGCCACGUCGGGAGGGCUUCGCCACCGGAGAGACUCAAGAAGAAUCGAUCCUUUGGCCCCCAGCAACAUGUACACGGUGUAAUGACAGGAAAUGAGCAGGUUUGCAGGGAGACUGCUGGCCUGAAAUCGGAGAGGAAGGCGUCAUUGCUCGUGAGUAUGAAUUUUGCUUUUUUAGGACUGUGGUUUGAUGCUGUUCCUGGGAGGGGGCGGGUUUCCCUGUCUGGGGAAGGGGGCAUGACCUCGGUGAAAUCGGCUUUUGGUUCUGGAAGCUGUGUCCGGCCGGGCGGGGCUGGUCCGGGAACGGAAGUCUUCCUCGGAGUAGAAGGUGGAUGGUUGGAACCCAGGCUCUGCCCUCCCGCCAGCUCAGGAAAGAGUGUAGCUCCCUUGUGGUUGGUGUUUGAGGGAGAGCAGGACCCCUGAAGGAUAAAGGAACAGGUGCAAUUUUUGGCCCCAGAACUACAUACAGUUUGUACCCUUCUGAGUUUGCUAAAUAGGUUGGCCCACUUAGAACUAUAAAUUCUCAUACAGGCCAUUUAGCAGUGUGUUCCACUAAGAGCGAUCGUAAGACCCAACCCAUUACUCCAGCUGAGAAUGUUCUUAAUCACUGGGUGCCUGGCGCUGUCUGCAGGCUCUGAGAAAUAAUGAGGAACUGUGGCCUAGGCUCUAUUUUGGAGGCACUUUCGAGCCAGUGUGGGAGGAGAAGAAACCCGCAGAAGAGGUUACUAAAGACCUUUAAGAAUGGGCUUACUGUCCACGCUGGUGCACACACCACAGCUAGGAGUGCUGGUGACAGGACUGGUCAGGGCCCACUUCUUGGGGACAGAGGGACUUGAACUGGAAGAGGCUGAUAGAGGAGGGAAGCCACUCCAGGGUAGAAGCAACAAGUGCUAGGAUGGGAACACCCAAUGCCCUAUGCGGGGACAGAGGAAAAUGCUGGUGACACUGGGCUGGCCCAGGUGGUAAAGGGCUGGAAGUGUCUCCAUGAAUGAUCAAUGUGCAAAGAAUCAGGACAGAAUAAGGUUUCCCUCGUUUGUGUAAAUAAAGUUGAGUUUCUGCCAGUUCAUCUGUGACUUGCAUAACAGUGACCGCAUGGAUUUUUCACCACAUUUGAGGUUGUAUUUGAGAUUAGUGCAGACACUGGAUACAUUACAGGAAAUUCACAUGGGGGAUCCUCCCUGGAUCUCAGAGAGAGAGAGAGAGGGAUACAGAAAGAGAGAGAGAGAGAUGGCCCUCUCUGGGCAGCUGUAGCUGAGGGCCACCAGAGGACCCUGAGAUCAAUGAGCAAGCCCCCUGAGCUCUGGGUGGAUGGUCCCCAGGACAGUGCUCUCAAUGUUCACUUGCUUUUCUCUGGAGCUGCUUCUCACAUCCAGAGCUCUAGGUAUGAUGCCCAAGAUGAGGGGCAGCUGAGAUGGAAUUGUUUGACAAAGGGGAAUUAUUUGUUGCAGCAAGCAGGAGAAGCUAGCGUGUCCUAGAUCUCAAGAAUCACAAGCAGUAUUUAUUUGGCAUCAUUGGCUUGCAGCACACCUCCCGCAGUACCGUCCCUCACGAGCUGCACAGAGGCUCAGUGGGUAUUGCCAUUUUGCAGGUAAGGAAGCUGAGGCUGGGAACUACUAUUUCCCUCCAGUUCGCUAGCCAAUCAUAGAUAGAGCUGACGUUCACGCCAACUCCUGCUGCACGUAGUUGGAUACCUGAUUGUGGGACAGGCCUGCUGAGUCUGCCCCUGCCUCCUGCUCAUUCCUCCUGGAGAAGGAGAGUAUUUGUGUGGCCCCCACAGGGGUCUGGUUGGUGGAGCUCUCUCUUCGCAUGGGUCAACAUUUUGUUGGGCGGCUUUCAUGGGAUGUAUAGUGUUGACUGGUAAGCUUGGGCCAGGCAGGAAGGUGGUUAUGGUUCUGCUCCCGAAGAGGAAGGCUCAUGUGCGUUUCUACCACCUCAGGAAAGAUACAAGGGGGCUGCAUUUGGAACUGUUGUUUGAAUGAUGGAGGUUAGAGUCCCUAGAAGCAGAGCUUGAGACAAGGAUUCAGGUACAUGUGUUAUAUCCAAGGAGCGCUCUUAGGAAACACUUGUCAGGGAGGGCCUGUGUCUUUUGUUAGCGUGAUCCGUGUGAAUUGCAAAGCACUGACGUCCAUGACCUGGCAGCAAGGGGCAGGCCUCAAGUAACCCCUCGUUUACCAAACUCCAAGGCAUGCCUUUAACCAAGAGCCAGGGUCUGGAGAAGAUCACAGGUGAAAGCAGCUGGGAGGAGGUGUCCCAGCCAGCAAAGUGGUCCCAUCUGAAUGGAGCCUUUGUUGCAUCUACACCCAUGCCUGUGAAAAUCACUAUUGUCAAGACAUCCAAAAGAGAUUUUCACCUGACUUGGCAGUAAUUUUCACAAUUUUAAGUUUGCAUUUUAAGAGUAUAAGUAUUAAAAUAGACAUCGUGAGUAUCAAAGUCUGUUUUCACUGAAACAAGUAUGUGCUUUUUUAACCAUCAUUUUUUUCCUAAUAGGUCAUAUAGUCCCAUGAGUCUAAAUUCAAAAGUACCAAAAGAUAUACUGUGAAAAGUCUCCUUCCCACCUAUGUCCCCAAACAGCCCAACUCCUCUCCUGGUGACCACCAGCAUUACCAGGAUUGGGGUUACUUUCCAGGGAUAGUCUAUGCACAUCAACAACGGUGUGGUGUAGAUUUCAAAGUUUUGGUGAAUCUGAUACAGUACAGUAAGACAAAACAAAACAAACAAAAAAACCCAAAGCAGAACAAAACAAACAAACAAAAAACACUGAAGAGUCAGCAGUUGUGGCUCUUCCUUCUGAAGGAGUUGAGCUAAAAUGCACCUUUUCUUUGGAGAUCAAGGGAGAACAGCCCACCAAGUCAGCUCUCAGCAGAAUGUUCUAAAUGCAUACAGACUUGACAAACAUUCCCAAACUUUUUGAAGUUACUAUAGAUACAAUUGAUGUCAGCAUCAUUGCACAUCACCUGUAAAGAGUUUGAGAUGCUGUAUUACAGCCCUUGAAAUUCUGAAGUAUUUAAAAUAAUGUAGAAUUUCACCAAAUUCACCCUUUAGUUCCGAUUAUUCUGGUCUCACUGCAUUCAUUGCCUAAUGUCAUUUGCAUAUUGUUGGAUGACCUACACUUGUUGUCCAAGUGUUUUUAGAGGUACUCUAGCUUCAGCACCUUGUGACUUUUCCUCGUGGUUUCCUUUUAUGGAGUCCCUACCAUGAUUGGGGGAUGUUCUUAACAUAGGAGCUUGUCGGUGAUGGUGGCGUCCCCUCAGCCAGGGAGCUCCCUGUCAGAGGCGCUGGAAGAGUAGUUGGGACAUGCAUCUACAAAGUUACACAGGACAUCUGUCCUAGGUGCUGGGCAGGCUGACUACUCAGGUCCCUUCCACAGCUGAGCUUCUGGUCUCCAGAGCUCCAUUAUCAUUACUGCCUCGCUAGACCGCUUACCUGGUUUGAAAUCCAGGCCAUUGUGCUCACACCAUGUGAGCUUAUCUUCUAAAUGCUGGUUUCACAGGUGCUGUCAAAUGCCUGUAAAUAGCCAAAGAAAGCUGACUUUGUAAUCUCAUAGGCCUGCCCUGUGUGUUUGUGUGUGCGUGUGUGUGUGUGUUUUCUUGCAAGCAAACUCCCUCCUUUCCGUUCUCCUUCAUGUUCACGUUCUCUCUGAGGUUGCCGGAAAAAUCCUCGAACGUGUGCAUGACCUGUUUCCGACCUGAGACAGAUUUUGGUGGCACCCCCAUGAGGCCAUGAAAAAAAAAAAUCUCAUUUCCUUCCAAGAAAUGGAAUCAUUAUCUUGAUUGAAAUAAUCUCUCCUCCACCUGCAACCAGAUAAAGCAUCAAAUUGGUGGGGUUUCCUUAUCGCUGCACAGAGUUUGCGGGACACAGAAUAAUGGCCUGUCAGCUGUCUCUGGGGGACGGGUCCUGGAAGGCAGAGCCCACAGCUCUUGGCCCGAUUUGGAUCAUACAGUGUCUGGCGCCAUGUACAAUAAUUCCAUUAGUGACAAAAGUUAUCCUAGUCAAGUGAGCAGGUUUAGCGUAGAGCCUGCAACGGCAGGAGCGAGAAGCACAGCUCCUACUAUUAUCGUGGUGGUGGUUGUCAUUCAACAACAUCUAACAUAUAUGGGCAACUGCAGGGGCGACUAGAAACUGGGGAUGUUUAUCUGUUUUUAGGAAGCGAGCGUUCUGGAACCUAGUGCCCACCAGGCCUGAGUUUCCUAGGAUGGCAGUCAGAGUAUGGGGGUGACUAUGCUUGAGAAGGAGG
ensembl:lincRNA